UAGCUCCUCUAUGUCUCCACUGAUAUGGAUUAAGCCCGCCCGUCUUAGGCGGGCUUUUUUUA
rnacentral:ncRNA from 1 species